AGACGAAGUAAACGGACGACUUUCAAAGCUGAGAAAAGACUACCUAUACCAUCCUCAUCGUGAUCGAAUGCGUUGAACACGUCGUAAGAUAUUAUGACAAAUCAUGUAAAAUAGACAAAUAGAAGUAGACAACAACAACAACAACAACAAACAAA